rnacentral:rRNA from 1 species
GCAAAUUGACACCGUAACUUCGGGAGAAGGUGUGCCGCUGGCGGUUAGUGACUUCGCGUCACGAAGCUGUCGGUGGUCGCAGUGAAAUGGCGGUUGUGACUGUUUACUAAAAACACAGGACUCUGCGAAGUCGUAAGACGACGUAUAGGGUCUGAUGCCUGCCCGGUGCUGGAAGGUUAAGGGGAUAUGUCAGCGCAAGCGAAGCAUUGAACCGAAGCCCCAGUAAACGGCGGCCGUAACAAUAACGGUCCUAAGGUAGCGAAAUUCCUUGUCGGGUAAGUUCCGACCUGCACGAGGGCAUAACAACAUCCGCACUGUCUCGACCAGGGACUCAGCGAAAUUACAUUGGGGGUGAAGAUGCCCUCUACCCGCGGAAAGACGGAAAGACCCCAUGAACCUUUACUGCAACUUGGCAGUGAUUUUCGGGUUGUUCUGCGUAGGAUAGGUGGGAGGCUUUGAAGCCGGGCUUCCGGGUUCGGCAGAGCCAACGUUGAAAUACCACCCUGAAUAAUCUGGAAAUCUAACCUGCGCCCAUGAUCUGGGCGAGGGACACUGCCUGGUGGGCAGUUUGACUGGGGCGGUCGCCUCCUAAAUUGUAACGGAGGCGUGCGACGGUUCCCUCAGGCUGAUUGGAAACCAGCCGUAGAGUGCAAACGCAUAAGGGAGCUUUACUGCGAGACUGACAAGUCGAACAGUUGCGAAAGCAGGUGUUAGUGAUCCGGUGGUACCACAUGGAAGGGCCAUCGCUCAUCGGAUAAAAGGUACUCUGGAUAACAGGCUGAUCGCGCCUGAGAGUUCACAUCGGCGGCGCGGUUUGGCACCUCGAUGUCGGCUCAUCGCAUCCUGGGGCUGGAGCAGGUCCCAAGGGUUUGGCUGUUCGCCAAUUAAAGCGGUACGCGAGCUGGGUUUAAAACGUCGUGAGACAGUUUGGUCCCUAUCUUCCGUGGGCGCAGGACACUUGAGAGGAGCUAUCCAUAGUACGAGAGGACCUGGAUGGACGAACCUCUGGUGCUCCGGUUGUCACGCCAGUGGCAUAGCCGGGUAGCCAUGUUCGGAACAGAUAACCGCUGAAGGCAUAUAAGCGGGAAGCUGGCCUCAAGACUAGGUGUCCCUGACGCAAGUCACUAAAGGCCCCUCGAAGACUACGAGGUUGAUAGGCUCGGUGUGGAAGCGCUGCGAGGCGUGGAGCUAACGAGUACUAAUAGGCCGUGCGACUUGACCUC